ACUCCUACGGGAGGCAGCAGUGGGGAAUCUUGGACAAUGGGCGCAAGCCUGAUCCAGCCAUGCCGCGUGAGUGAUGAAGGCCUUAGGGUCGUAAAGCUCUUUCGCCAGGGAUGAUAAUGACAGUACCUGGUAAAGAAACCCCGGCUAACUCCGUGCCAGCAGCCGCGGUAAUACGGAGGGGGUUAGCGUUGUUCGGAAUUACUGGGGCGUAAAGCGCGCGUAGGCGGAUCGGAAAGUUGGGGGUGAAAUCCCGGGGGCUCAACCCCCGGAACUGCCUCCAAAACUAUCGGUCUAGAGUUCGAGAGAGGUGAGUGGAAUUCCGAGUGUAGAGGUGAAAUUCGUAGAUAUUCGGAGGAACACCAGUGGCGAAGGCGGCUCACUGGCUCGAUACUGACGCUGAGGUGCGAAAGUGUGGGGAGCAAACAGGAUUAGAUACCCUGGUAGGAUAGCG
rnacentral:rRNA from 1 species